UGGGUGGGGCUUUCUCUUCAGUUCGUAUAAAUCUUUCGCCUUUUACUAAAGAUUUCCGUGGAGGGGAGCAGUGAGGGUACAUCGCUCAUAUAGUGGGUUACACACAGUCAUGAGUAU
ensembl:snRNA U5 U5 spliceosomal RNA